ensembl:rRNA 5S_rRNA 5S ribosomal RNA
UAUACUAAAUAAAGUUACUGUGUAGUAUCAGAUCUCGGAUGCUAAGCAAGUCAGGUUUGGUCAGUACUUGGAUGGGAGACCUUCAUGGAAAACGCAUGUGUUGGUGCUA